rnacentral:miRNA from 1 species
AUCAGUCUCCGGAAUUUCUGGCC